rnacentral:rRNA from 1 species
AGAGUUUGAUCAUGGCUCAGGAUUAACGCUGGCGGUAUGCCUAACACAUGCAAGUCGAACGGAAUACUCGAAAAGAGAAUCUCACACUAGUGAGAGGUUCUCCAACCGAGUAUUUAGUGGCGGACGGGUGAGUAACACGUUGGAACCUGCCCCGAAGUGGGGAAUAACUGCUCGAAAGAGUAGCUAAUACCCCAUAGUAUCCGGUUUAUCCGGAUUAAAGAUUUAUCGCUUCGGGAGGGGCCUGCGUCUGAUUAGCUUGUUGGUGGGGUAAAAAGCUCACCAAGGCGACGAUCAGUAGCUGGUUCGAGAGGAUGACCAGCCACACUGGGACUGAGAUACGGCCCAGACUCCUACGGGAGGCAGCAGUGAGGAAUCUUCCACAAUGGACGAAAGUCUGAUGGAGCAAUACCGCGUGCAGGACGACGCUUUUCGGAGUGUAAACUGCUUUUGUCGUCGAAGAUUAUGACUGUAGACGAAGAAUAAGGACCGGCUAACUACGUG